CCUACGGGAGGCAGCAGUGAGGAAUAUUGGUCAAUGGUCGGGAGACUGAACCAGCCAAGCCGCGUGAGGGAUGAAGGUACAGAGUAUCGUAAACCUCUUUUGUCAGGGAACAAAGGCGGGGACGCGUCCCCGGAUGAGUGUACCUGAAAAAAAAGCAUCGGCUAACUCCGUUCCAGCAGCCGGGGUAAUACGGAAGAUGCGAGCGUUAUCCGGAUUUAUUGGGUUUAAAGGGUGCGCAGGCGGUCUGUUAAGUCAGCGGGAAAAGCCCGGGGCUCAACCCCGGCCCGCCGUUGAAACUGGCAGUCUCGAGUUGGAGAGAAGUAUGCGGAAUGCGCGGUGUAGCGGUGAAAUGCAUAGAUAUCGCGCAGAACUCCGAUUGCGAAGGCAGCAUGCCGGCUCCACACUGACGCUGAGGCACGAAAGCGUGGGUAUCGAACAGGAUUAGAUACCCCAGUAGUC
rnacentral:rRNA from 1 species